rnacentral:rRNA from 1 species
AGCAGCCGCGGUAAUUCCAGCUCCAAUAGCGUAUAUUAAAGUUGUUGCAGUUAAAAAGCUCGUAGUUGAAUUUCGGGGUUAGUAGGUUGGUCAUGCCUCUGGUAUGUACUGGUCUCACUGAUUCCUCCUUCCUGAUGAGCCGUAAUGCCAUUAAUUUGGUGUUGCGGGGAAUUUGGACUGUUACUUUGAGAAAAUUAGAGUGUUUAAAGCAAGCUAACGCUUGAAUACAUUAGCAUGGAAUAAUGAAAUAGGACGUUCGAUCCUAUUUUGUUGGUUUCUAGGAUUGACGUAAUGAUUAAUAGGGAUAGUUGGGGGCAUUAGUAUUCAAUUGUCAGAGGUGAAAUUCUUGGAUUUAUUGAAGACUAACUACUGCGAAAGCAUUUGCCAAGGAUGUUUUCAUUAAUCAAGAACGAAAGUUAGGGGAUCGAAGACGAUCAGAUACCGUCGUAGUCUUAACCAUAAACUAUGCCGACUAGGGAUCGGAUGAUGUUAAUUUUUUAAUGACUCAUUCGGCGCCUUACG